UACGUAGGGUGCGAGCGUUGUCCGGAAUUAUUGGGCGUAAAGGGCUCGUAGGCGGUUUGUCGCGUCGGGAGUGAAAUCCACUGGCUUAACUGGUGGCUUGCUUUCGAUACGGGCAGACUGGAGGUAUGCAGGGGAGAACGGAAUUCCUGGUGUAGCGGUGAAAUUCGUAGAUAUUCGCAAGAACACCAGUGGCGAAGGCGGAUCUCUGGGCCUUACCUGACGCUGAGGAGCGAAAGCAUGGGGAGCAAACAGG
rnacentral:rRNA from 1 species